rnacentral:rRNA from 1 species
AGUGAACGCUGGCGGCGUGCCUAAUACAUGCAAGUCGAACGGAGUGGCGCACGGGUGAGUAAUAUAUAGCUAAUCUGCCCCUUUCUGGAGGACAACCGUUCGAAAUGACUGCUAAUACUCCAUAGCAAGGGAUGAGACUAUAUCGUAUCAGCUAGUCGGUGGGGUAACGGCCUACCGAGGCUAUGACGCGUAACUGUUCUGCGCGGAUGAUCAGUCACAUGCGAACUGAGACACGGUCCAAACACCUACGGGAGGCAGCAGUAGGGAAAAUUGCGCAAUGGGGGAAACCCUGACACAGCAACGCCGCGUGGAGGAUGACACUUUUCGGAGCGAAAACUCCUUUUGUUAGGGAAGCGGUACCUAACGAAUAAGCACCGGCUAACUCCGUGCCAGCAGCCGCGGUAAUUC